AUUGAACGCUGGCGGCAGGCCUAACACAUGCAAGUCGAGCGGAUGAAGGGAGCUUGCUCCUGGAUUCAGCGGCGGACGGGUGAGUAAUGCCUAGGAUUCUGCCUGGUAGUGGGGGAUAACGUCCGGAAACGGGCGCUAAUACCGCAUACGUCCUGAGGGAGAAAGUGGGGGAUCUUCGGACCUCACGCUAUCAGAUGAGCCUAGGUCGGAUUAGCUAGUUGGUGGGGUAAAGGCCUACCAAGGCGACGAUCCGUAACUGGUCUGAGAUGAUGAUCAGUCACACUGGAACUGAGACACGGUCCAGACUCCUACGGGAGGCAGCAGUGGGGAAUAUUGGACAAUGGGCGAAAGCCUGAUCCAGCCAUGCCGCGUGUGUGAAGAAGGUCUUCGGAUUGUAAAGCACUUUAAGUUGGGAGGAAGGGCAGUAAGUUAAUACCUUGCUGUUUUGACGUUACCAACAGAAUAAGCACCGGCUAACUUCGUG
rnacentral:rRNA from 1 species